GCAACAGCUCAAAUUUGAAAUCUGGCCCUCGGGUCCGAGUUGUAAUUUGGAGAGGAUGCUUUUGGCGCGGCGCCGUCCGAGUUCCUUGGAACAGGACGCCAUAGAGGGUGAGAGCCCCGUACGGCGGCCGCCUAGCCUUUGUAAAGCUCCUUCGACGAGUCGAGUAGUUUGGGAAUGCUGCUCAAAUGGGAGGUAAAUUUCUUCUAAAGCUAAAUACCGGCCAGAGACCGAUAGCGCACAA
rnacentral:rRNA from 1 species